rnacentral:misc_RNA from 1 species
GAUGAAGAACGUAGCGAAAUGCGAUACUUGGUGUGAAUUGCAGAAUCCCGUGAACCAUCGAGUCUUUGAACGCAAGUUGCGCCUCAAGCCAUUAGGUUGAGGGCACGUCUGCCUGGGCGUCACAUAUCGUUGCCUGAUGCCAGUUUCCUCGUGAUGGGUGACUGUGCAGGGCGAAUGAUGGCUUCCCGUGAGCAUUGUUGCCUCAUGGUUGGUUGAAAAUUGAGUCCUUGGUAGGGAGCGCCGUGAUAGAUGGUGGUUGAGUGACGAACGAGACCCAAUCAUGUGAGACCCCUACCGAAUUUGGCCUUCAUGACCCACAUGCGUCUUUGGAACGCUCAUGACGAGACCUCAGGUCAGGCGGGGCUACCCGCUGAGUUUAAGCAUAUCAAAAGCGGAGGA